rnacentral:rRNA from 1 species
UACGUAGGGUGCAAGCGUUGUCCGGAAUUAUUGGGCGUAAAGAGCUCGUAGGCGGCUUGUCGCGUCGGAUGUGAAAACCCAGGGCUCAACCCUGGGCCUGCAUUCGAUACGGGCAGACUAGAGUAUGGCAGGGGAGACUGGAAUUCCUGGUGUAGCGGUGAAAUGCGCAGAUAUCAGGAGGAACACCGGUGGCGAAGGCGGGUCUCUGGGCCGAUACCGACGCUGAGGAGCGAAAGCGUGGGGAGCGAACAGG